rnacentral:rRNA from 1 species
UGGGGAAUAUUGCACAAUGGGGGAAACCCUGAUGCAGCGACGCCGCGUGAGUGAAGAAGUAUUUCGGUAUGUAAAGCUCUAUCAGCAGGGAAGAUAAUGACGGUACCUGACUAAGAAGCCCCGGCUAACUACGUGCCAGCAGCCGCGGUAAUACGUAGGGGGCAAGCGUUAUCCGGAUUUACUGGGUGUAAAGGGUGCGCAGGUGGCAGGGCAAGUCAGAUGUGAAAGCCCGGGGCUCAACCCCGGUAUUGCAUUUGAAACUGUCCAGCUAGAGUGCAGGAGAGGUAAGCGGAAUUCCUAGUGUAGCGGUGAAAUGCGUAGAUAUUAGGAGGAACACCAGUGGCGAAGGCGGCUUACUGGACUGUAACUGACACUGAGGCACGAAAGCGUGGGGAGCAAACAGG